rnacentral:rRNA from 1 species
UACGUAGGGUCCGAGCGUUGUCCGGAAUUACUGGGCGUAAAGAGCUCGUAGGUGGUUUGUCGCGUUGUUCGUGAAAACUCACAGCUUAACUGUGGGCGUGCGGGCGAUACGGGCAGACUUGAGUACUGCAGGGGAGACUGGAAUUCCUGGUGUAGCGGUGAAUGCGCAGAUAUCAGGAGGAACACCGGUGGCGAAGGCGGGUCUCUGGGCAUACCUGACGCUGAGGAGCGAA